GUCCACGCCCUAAACUAUGUCGACUAGUUGUUGGGGGAGUCUGUCCCUCAGUAACGUAGCUAACGCGUGAAGUCGACCGCCUGGGGAGUACGGUCGCAAGAUUAAAACUCAAAGGAAUUGACGGGGACCCGCACAAGCGGUGGAUUAUGUGGAUUAAUUCGAUGCAACGCGAAGAACCUUACCUACCCUUGACAUGCCAGGAACCCUGCAGAGAUGUAGGGGUGCCCGAAAGGGAACCUGGGCACAGGUGCUGCAUGGCUGUCGU
rnacentral:rRNA from 1 species